AUUGAACGCUGGCGGCAGGCUUAACACAUGCAAGUCGAGCGGGGUGAUGGUGCUUGCACUAUCACUUAGCGGCGGACGGGUGAGUAAUGCUUAGGAAUCUGCCUAUUAGUGGGGGACAACAUCUCGAAAGGGAUGCUAAUACCGCAUACGUCCUACGGGAGAAAGCAGGGGAUCACUUGUGACCUUGCGCUAAUAGAUGAGCCUAAGUCGGAUUAGCUAGUUGGUGGGGUAAAGGCCUACCAAGGCGACGAGCUGUAGCGGGUCUGAGAGGAUGAUCCGCCGCACUGGGACUGAGACACGGCCCAGACUCCUACGGGGAGCAGCCGUUGGGAAUAUUGGGCAAUGGGGGGAACCCUGAUCCAGCCAUGCCGCGUGUGUGAAGAAGGCCUUAUGGUUGUAAAGCACUUUAAGCGAGGAGGAGGCUCUUUUGGUUAAUACCCAAGAUGAGUGGACGUUACUCGCAGAAUAAGCACCGGCUAACUCUGUGCCAGCCGCCGCCGUAA
rnacentral:rRNA from 1 species